CCCCUCCUCGGCGAGCCAUGCGUGCCGCGGGCAGCUGAGGAGCCGCCGGGCGCCGCUGCCAAGUCUCCGCUCCGCUUUUGUCUUGCCCUCCAGUUGAAUGGGAAGAUGGAGAUGGAUGUUGAGGGAGUUUCUCCGCGCCCGGAGCCCAUCCCCCGCUCCCAGGGGGCUGGCGGAGCCUGCCAGGCGCCGGCAUCACGGACCCAGCCCCAGCCGCAGCGAGAACAGCCUCUGCCUCAGGAUGAACUGCCCGGCGAGAGUGCAGGCGCUGAGGACAGCGAAGGUCCCGAGAGGAGACCCAACGGCGAGAAAGGCGAGAGCAAGAGAUAGUGUGGACUGCAAGGUGAUGGAUGCCACCAUGAGCUCACUGCGUGACCUCCAAGAUUCUACAUCACUGACUGUUCCAAGGCUUAUGCUACCCUUCCAGAGAGGGCUCAUUCCUUGGCUAGAGAGAGAAUGGUUCUGGGGAGCUCCUGAAACACACUGAGGAAAGUGCUGCCAUUGCAUAGGACAGACACACAGCUGCUUGAGCCAAGAACCACAUACAGUGGAACUCAAGCCCCUCAUCCUUGCAGACUGAAGCUCUCACCAUGACAGCUCUGAAUUGGACUGCUUUUCCUUUGUUGUCACCUGCAUAACACACAGUUCUCUGUGAUUUUGAGUGAUUGGCUUUCUUUUUUCCUGUCUUUUUCUUUUCUUGGGCCUGGGAAUUAUAAAAAGGAAUUUCUUUAAAUGGUAAAAUUCUGUGAUGAAAUUAGCCUUGUUUAUGUUCUUAGGGAAUUUCUGAUUUGCAAUUCUGUUAAUAGGUAAAUAGGGCUAUGUAGUUUGAUUUGUAUCUUGCCCAUUUAUAGAUUUAAAAAUAUAUUUCCUUUUUUCAAAGUUUGGAUUCAAAUAAUGACCUGAGUCACAUUUGCUUAGCUCCUGAAAAGAUCUCAGUGUGGUAGUGGUUGGAGUUGAAAUAUAAUCAAACUACAUUGUACUUGGGGCUCUUACACACUAUUUGAUAUAAAUGUUAUACUACAAAGGAGCAUAAACCUUACAAGUUGAAAUUUAAUUCCUCUCUGAUCCUGAAGCUAGAGUGGCAAAAAAUUAUGAAUAUCAAAAGUAGCUUUAAAUGCCCCCAAUGUGAGCUAAUCAACAUUAGAACUCACAAAGCUUCCAAAAAAUCAUUGUGUAAGACAAAGCAGGAAUUAGAGAGCGGUCAGUCUCAUCCACAGUUGCUCAGGUGUCUCUGUGGCUUUGCCUGCUUUAAGGGAGGUAAAGAACAAGGCACAUUUCCGUGAUUAGGUUUAUAGAAACUGUAGUAUUUCUGACUGUCCUGUAACUGCCUACCUUCCAAUAAAAUGUUUUCAGUUGACCCAACAACAAUGUCUCUGUUAUUUUCCUACAAAACUGUGUCCUUAGUGGUUUUGUAAGAAAGUCCAGUACAGACCUACAAGUGGUUCACCUGCCAAAGAUCUCAGCUAGGUCUAGAGUUAUUGCUCUUCUUGAAGUUGCAUCAGACCUAUGUGUUUUCUAUACAUAGAGUUGGAGUUGUGUGGCCACCUUCUGUACUCUUCAUGCCAUAGUCAACUCUAGUCAGGGCAUAAUCUCUAACGAUGGUCACUAUUUGCCAUGAUUCUCUAAUUCUGGGGUUCCUGUUUAUUUUGUGAGACUCUCAGACAAGCCACAAACUCUGUGAACCUCAAUUUCCUCAUAUACAAAAUGAGAAUAACAACACUUCCCAUGGUUACGGUGAUAAGUGCCUGUAAAGGAUAUCACAUGAAUGGUACUUUACACAUUGUAAACAGGUUGAGUUGUGACAACACUCAAAAUGGUGC
rnacentral:lncRNA from 1 species